CGGCCGACGCGAUUCCGUAACUUCUCUUGUUGUCAUCGUCGAAAUCCACUUCUAAACGUAUUGAAUUAAAUUCCAUUCAAAUAGUUUUCUGAUUGUUUUAGUCAGAACAAUGCUAUAAGUUUAGCCGUUUUAGUUCAGUUUCGUUUGCCCACGCGCGUUUCGAGUGUUUACAAAGUUUGUUUGAUUUGGUGGCAAGUUAAAAAGUAGGUAGGUACGUAUUUUAACAGUGCAAGUGUGUGUUUGUGCCCGUGAACUUGUGGAUUCUGUGCUGAAUUGACUGAAAUAAAUCUUCUGCUGCUGCCAGCUAGGUCUUCAGCAGGACCGCUGGAGGCGCGGAAGGUCCGGUUUCAAGAGUGCUGGAGGAGUGACGGCCUCAAGCUGGCUUCGUCGGGCUCGGGUAGCCCGGCGCCGCCGGUGCAGUGGCGCGUGCGACGAAAGCCAG